rnacentral:misc_RNA from 1 species
GGAUGAAGAACGUAGCGAAAUGCGAUACGUAGUGUGAAUUGCAGAAUUCAGUGAAUCAUCGAAUCUUUGAACGCACAUUGCACCUCUCGGUAUUCCGGGAGGUAUGCCUGUUCGAGCGUCAUUUGUACCCUCAAGCUCUGCUUGGUGUUGGGUGUUUGUUCCGCCUCUGUGUGUGAACUCGCCUCAAAACAAUUGGCAGCCGGCGUACUUGUUUCGGAGCGCAGCACAUUUUGCGAUCCAGAUCAACGUACAGCGGCAUCCAAGAAGCCUUAUUUAACGCUCUUGACCUCGGAUCAGGUAGGGAUACCCGCUGAACUUAAGCAUAUCAAUAGCGGAGGA